rnacentral:rRNA from 1 species
UACGAAGGGGGCUAGCGUUGCUCGGAAUUACUGGGCGUAAAGCGCACGUAGGCGGCUUCUUAAGUCGGUGGUGAAAUCCUGGAGCUCAACUCCAGAACUGCCUCGAUACUGGGAGCUCGAGUCCGGGAGAGGUGAGUGGAACUGCGAGUGUAGAGGUGAAAUUCGUAGAUAUUCGCAAGAACACCAGUGGCGAAGGCGGCUCACUGGCCCGGUACUGACGCUGAGGCACGAAAGCGUGGGGGAGCAACAGGG